rnacentral:rRNA from 1 species
CCUAUUCGCCCAGGAAACUACAAGCAUGAGCUUGAAACCCAAAGGACUUGGCGGUGCUUUAGACCCACCUAGAGGAGCCUGUCCUAGAANCGAUAACCCCCGUUCAACCUCACCACUUCUGGCUCCUUAUUCCGCCUGUAUACCUCCGUCGUCAGCUUACCCUGUGAAGGAAAAAUAGUAAGCAAAACCGGCACUGCCUAAAACGUCAGGUCGAGGUGCAGCGCACGAAGUGUGCAAGGAGAUGGGCUACAUUUUCUGACUCAGAAAAUUACGAAAGAAUAAUGAAAAAACUUCCAAAGGAGGAUUUAGCAGUAAUCAGGGAAUAGAGCGCCCUGCUG